rnacentral:rRNA from 1 species
GACGAACGCUGGCGGCGUGCUUAACACAUGCAAGUCGAACGGCAAGGCCCUGCUUUUGUGGGGUGCUCGAGUGGCGAACGGGUGAGUAACACGUGAGUAACCUGCCCUUGACUUUGGGAUAACUUCAGGAAACUGGGGCUAAUACCGGAUAGGAGCUCCUGCUGCAUGGUGGGGGUUGGAAAGUUUCGGCGGUUGGGGAUGGACUCGCGGCUUAUCAGCUUGUUGGUGGGGUAGUGGCUUACCAAGGCUUUGACGGGUAGCCGGCCUGAGAGGGUGACCGGCCACAUUGGGACUGAGAUACGGCCCAGACUCCUACGGGAGGCAGCAGUGGGGAAUAUUGCACAAUGGGCGGAAGCCUGAUGCAGCAACGCCGCGUGCGGGAUGACGGCCUACGGGUUGUAAACCGCUUUCGCCUGUGACGAAGCGUGAGUGACGGUAAUGGGUAAAGAAGCACCGGCUAACUACGUG